GGGGACACAUAUGCUCAUUUUAAAGCGAUGAGUCCGGACUGCCCAUUUCUAUAUGCUCAUGUGCUUAGCUUCCCAGUGAACAAACAUUCAGCUGCUGUCUGUUUGUAGAUUUCUUCCUAAAUUUUAUAGUAAGUUAUUUUCAUCCUUUUAGAAGAAAGGUCCUUUUUAUGCAGCAGGGGGAGCUGCAAACAUUCUCCUAUCUUGUUAUAGGGCCUUUUAUUAAAAAUUAGAUCAUUUUGUAUUCAAACAUAAUCUUGUGGAUCGUUUGUAACUUGACGCUAUAUUUUCAUAACUAAAAUUUUUACAUAAUUCGAAUUAGUUCCGAUAUCCG
rnacentral:lncRNA from 1 species